GUAGUCUCGCACAGAUGCAUAUCAAUAAGCGGAGGAAAAGAAACUAACAAGGAUUCCCCUAGUAACGGCGAGUGAAGCGGGAAGAGCUCAAAUUUGAAAUCUUAAAGGGUUUCCCUUUACGAAUUGUAGUUUAAAGAAGUGUUUUCUGUUGAGGUUUUGGUAAAAGUUCUUUGGAAUAGGACAUCAUAGAGGGUGAGAAUCCCGUAUUUGACCUUUACUUUCAACUUUGUGAUACACUUUCAAAGAGUCGGAUUGUUUGGGAAUGCAGUCCAAAAUGGGUGGUAAAUUUCAUCUAAAGCUAAAUAUUGGCGAGAGACCGAUAGCGAACAAGUACCGUGAGGGAAAGAUGAAAAGAACUUUGAAAAGGAGAGUUAAAGCAGUACGUGAAAUUGUCAAAAGGGAAGCGUUUGACACCAGUGUUGUUUUUCUGAAAAUCAAUUAAAGAACUGUUUAUGCUAAGUUGUUUAGACUUUAUCAGCUAACUGUCUAGUUUUGAGCUUUUCUUUAAUGCACUUUUCAGUUAACAAGUCAACAUCAAUUUCUUUUGCUGUAAAAAAGCUUGAGGAAGGUGGCUUGAGAUUCGUCUUAAGUGUUUAUAGCCUCUUGCCUAUGCAGUCGGAGAGAUUGAGGUCUGCAGCGUAGAUCCUUCGGGGCUAAAUGCAUUUGUGCUAAGUUAUAGCAUUUUAUAGACAACUUGUUGACUAUGAUUUGUCUUGUAGCUUACUCGCUUAUGUUAUUUUACCUACGCUUAGGAUGUUGAUCUGUAGUGCGUGCGC
rnacentral:rRNA from 1 species